rnacentral:rRNA from 1 species
UACGUAGGGUGCGAGCGUUAAUCGGAAUUACUGGGCGUAAAGGGCGCGUAGGCGGCACGGCAAGUCAGGAGUGAAAGCCCGGGGCUCAACCCCGGAAUGUCUUUUGAAACUGCCGAGCUAGAGUGCGGAAGAGGCAACUGGAAUUCCCAGUGUAGCGGUGAUAUGCGUAGAUAUCGGGAGGAACACCUGUGGCGAAGGCGGCUUUCUGGGCCCUACCUGACGCUGAGACGCGAAAACGUGGGGAGCGAACCGG